GAGGCAUUAACAUGCGUACCAGUAGAGCUGCUGUUGCACCACCUUAAUGGCUCCUGAGGGUCUCUGACUCAGGGACAGUUAGUUCCGUGAUGGCUACAGUAAGAAGUCUGCAUCUGUAUGAAAACCAUUUUCCCCAAAUUCCACCAUUCAUCCUGUAAGAAAACAUCUGGACACACCUAAAAUUAAGAUUGAUAUUUCAUUCACAUUUAAUGUAAUAACUAUACGUAUUAUUUUCCCCACUACAGCUCAGGUGAGAGAAUUUGUUGGCAGGAAAACUAUUAAUAUCAUGGGCUCCACAUAUCUGGCUUUAAUGGAAGACCUCCCAGAAGAAAGCCAUUGCUGAAGGAAACCGUGAAGAUUAGAACAAGCCAUGUAAGGGACACAUGUGGCAGGAAGUGCUCUGGUGAAAUCAGAGAUCAAAUUGAACUUUUUGGCCUACGUGUGAAACGCUAUGAGUGGCAGAAAACAUCAUCCACACAGUGAAACAUGGUGGAGGCAGUAUCAUGCUAGGGAAUACUUUUCUUUAUCAUACAGUAUCUCAUCCAUUGCACAUCAUUGUUAGCUUCUGGGAAAUGUUUUAGAUAGCCUCAGUGUAGGAGACAUAAAUAAAAACUUACUUGCUGAACUUUGGUAAUCGUGUUUUUAGAUUUGUUGUUUAAGUUGUUGAUUUUGUGUUACAGGGGUUUGAGAGGGGGAUAUUAGAGCUUGGGAUGCGAGACAAAUAUUUGCAUCAGAAGACAGGGGAACAAAAGUACAAAAAAACAAAAACAUAAAAUUAAAAACAAGGUGUAUUAACAGCAAAAAAUAAAACAUACAUGAUCAGUUUUUAUGUUAUUUUUUAUUUUUGUAUUAAUUUGUAUACUUGUUUGUGUAUUAUACAGGUCAUUCAUACACUUUGAUAGUAAAUAGUAAUUACACACAAGUAGUGUAACAAGCAUAAACCUGUCAACAUCCUCGACUCACACACACCCUCACAUUCACACAAAUAAUCCCACACUCAAUAAAACUAAAACAAAGAUAAAAAUGUUAAA